CUUUAUAUAACGACUGCCCUUUGCUCAUGCUCCAGCUAAUUUCAGUGCCUGAUUCUACUCAUAGUACUAAACUGUAUAGAGUAGAGCUUACAACUGGUUGUACCUUCCUGAUCAUACAAUUAGUUAGUUCCUGUUGAUAACUGAAUUGUAGCUAUGUUACUUCCUUACUUCAUUUAGUUCUUAAUUCACUACCUUUUCAUUGUGAUAGGUGAAGACAAUUACCUAUCCUCUACAAUCCAACUAUAUGUAGAGAUCGACGUCAAAAGGAACCUCAGGCUUUGUAUUCAACAGGACCUUUACAAACGACUAACUUAGAUCGGCGAGAGUAGAGAAUAAGGCAAGGAUCUUUGAGCAGAAUGCCACUGAUAGUGAGUGCAAGGUCGCUCCUAAAGUGCUCUCCAAGCUAUAUGAUCCGUGGGUGAUGCCACAGACCAAGGAUGUCGAAGUUGAGUACCUCCUGCGCUGCCUUGACUAAUCACCGAUUAGCUAUAGCUGUAAAUUUUAUGUAUGCAUGGUUUCAGUUGCGCUCGAACCAA